rnacentral:misc_RNA from 1 species
UUUCCGUAGGUGAACCUGCGGAAGGAUCAUUACUGAGUGAGGGCCCUCUGGGUCCAACCUCCCACCCGUGUUUAUUGUACCUUGUUGCUUCGGUGCGCCCGCCUCACGGCCGCCGGGGGGCUUCUGCCCCCGGGUCCGCGCGCACCGGAGACACCAUUGAACUCUGUCUGGAGAUUGCAGCCUGAGCAUAAACUAAAUAAGUUAAAACUUUCAACAACGGAUCUCUUGGUUCCG